GAUCCUGGCUCAGGAUGAACGCUAGCUACAGGCUUAACACAUGCAAGUCGAGGGGAAACGACAUCGAAAGCUUGCUUUUGAUGGGCGUCGACCGGCGCACGGGUGAGUAACGCGUGAGGAACCUGCCUUUCAGAGGGGGACAACAGUUGGAAACGACUGCUAAUACCGCAUGACGCAUUUUGAUCGCAUGGUCGAAAUGCCAAAGAUUUAUCGCUGAAAGAUGGCCUCGCGU
rnacentral:rRNA from 1 species